ensembl:lncRNA
AUGGAUAAACAGCAAACUGCGAGUGAAACCAAACCUUCUGCUUCUCAGCCCUUGUCCUUUCAACUACUGUUAACAGCAGAUGCUGUAACAACAGAUGGGGCCCCUUCCAUAUCCUCUCAGCCUACCCCGGAAGUGGCCUGCAGAGCACUCCAUGCUGGCCUGGGGCUCCAUGUCUCUCUCCGCCUAAGGACAUCCUCUAGCUGUGUGUGUGGAAGCGCACACCAAGAGCAGAACCAGCCAACAAGGACCGCUUCAUCAGUUCGACAAUCGGAGUCCUGUUCCACAGUCUCUCCCAGGGUGCCCUGCAGGACUGACCUCCAGCUGCCGAGAGUCUCCUCUCCUCUCCCUCACGUGCUCACCUCCCUGCUAAACUGCUGCCUGCAUACCUUCUAAGACCCUGGUUCCAGCACCACCUGCUGUGGCCCAGCAGAGAAGCAGGAGCAGGUGCAGGAGAUAGAGCAGAAUAUGGUUUGGAUCUGGGAUAUAGCUCUAAAAAUGUUUGAAAAGAAAUUCCUGAAAUGUGUGAAUUUCAAUAGAACAAAUGUUUCUCCUAAAGGCUUGGGGAAGUUUCAAACUUCAAACACUGAAGGAGGAGAGUCUUAGAAGCAGAAGAGUUUAUAGACCCAUUGACAGGGAGCGUGCAUGCUCAGUCACUCAGUCGUUCAGUCAUGUCUGACUCUUUUGUGACCCCAUGGACUGUAGCCCUCCAGGCUCCUCUGUCCAUGGGAUUCUCCAGGCAAGAAUACUGGAGUGGUUUGCUAUUUCCUACUCCAGAGGAUGUUCCCAACCCAGGGAUUGAACUUGCAUCUUCUGCAUCGGCAGACAGAUUCUUUACCACUGAGCCACCUGGGAAGCCCUAUUCAGAGGGAGAGGAGCAUUGAAAAAGCAAAUCUUAGUUAACAGAAAUUUCAUUACAGUGACUCAGGAUAAAGUGCUUCUCUGGCCAGCACGUUGGCUGGUCUCCUCCAUUUUAGCAUGGACAAAUUGAGCAGGGGAGGCUCACUGUCAGAUUCUUAGGCUGGGACCCAGCUUCCAAGGAAUUUAGGAAACCUGCUCCUGCCACCUUCAUAAACUCUAAGUAUUUGAAAACAACCAGGACCACUAGGGCUGUCUCUGUCCUCUGACUCAUCCCACGGAGGCAGGGCUCCUGGAAAGAAGCCUCAAGAAGGGACCCUGGAGUGGUCCUCGCCAUUGCCUGCUUAUAUCUUGCUCCUCCAGGAGGGGAAAGGCUACUGCCUG